AAGACUAUAGACCUGCGGAGUACCUGCGGAAGGAUCAUUACAGAGUUACUACUCCAAACCCAUUGUGAACCUUACCUAUGUUCUGUUGCCUCGGCGGCGUGGUCAGCGCCCCUCUGAAAAGAGGACGAUGCCCUCCCGCCGGCAGCACCAAACUCUUUGAAUUUUACAGCGGAUUACAGUUCUGAUUUGAAAACAAAAAACAAGUUAAAACUUUCAACAAUGGAUCUCUAGAUCGGAAGA
rnacentral:misc_RNA from 1 species